rnacentral:rRNA from 1 species
UACGGGGGGAGCAAGCGUUGUUCGGAUUUACUGGGCGUAAAGGGCGCGUAGGCGGUCAGCACAAGUCAGUUGUGAAAUCUCCGGGCUUAACUCGGAAAGGUCAACUGAUACUGUGCGACUAGAGUGCAGAAGGGGCAACUGGAACUCUCGGUGUAGCGGUGAAAUGCGUAGAUAUCGAGAGGAACACCUGCGGCGAAGGCGGGUUGCUGGGCUGACACUGACGCUGAUGCGCGAAAGCCAGGGGAGCGAACGGG